rnacentral:rRNA from 1 species
GAUGAACGCUGGCGGCGUGCCUAGUACAUGCAAGUCGAGCGAACAGACGAGGAGCUUGCUCCUCUGACGUUAGCGGCGGACGGGUGAGUAACACGUGGAUAACCUACCUAUAAGACUGGGAUAACUUCGGGAAACCGGAGCUAAUACCGGAUAAUAUAUUGAACCGCAUGGUUCAAUAGUGAAAGACGGUUUUGCUGUCACUUAUAGAUGGAUCCGCGCCGCAUUAGCUAUUUGGUAAGGUAACGGCUUACCAAGGCAACGAUGCGUAGCCGACCUGAGAGGGUGAUCGGCCACACUGGAACUGAGACACGGUCCAGACUCCUACGGGAGGCAGCAGUAGGGAAUCUUCCGCAAUGGGCGAAAGCUUGACGGAGCAACGCCGCGUGAGUGAUGAAGGUCUUCGGAUCGUAAAACUCUGUUAUUAGGGAAGAACAAAUGUGUAAGUAACUAUGCACGUCUUGACGGUACCUAAUCAGAAAGCCACGGCUAACUACGUG